UCUUCAUCAGAUGUAAUUGUCUCGGAGG
rnacentral:piRNA from 1 species